AAUCUUACCGGGUCCGGACACACUGAGGAUUGACAGAUAUACGUACCACUCAUUCGCGUGGGUUGGUACUGAAAGAUGCUAGUUCUUUCAUGAUUAUGUGAUAGGUGGUGCAUGGCCGUUCUUAGUUCGUGGAGUGAUCUGUCUGCUUAAUUGCGUAUCAUUAAAGAGACCUAGUAUACGCGUAAGACUUUCGUUUACGGUUCGUGACCCCCUUCGGGCGUGUGUCGCACGUACGAGUCAUACGCACUGGUCUCCGAUAGCAACGAACGUGACCGUACUCUAUUGUUGCAGCGAAUGUAUGCACCUUCCCGGUGUAUCUACCGCUGCUUAGUGCGUAUGCGUACCUCGGUGCGUGUCGCACAUUAAACUAUAGAGACCGCUGUCUUUUCUUUAAACCAGAGGAAGGAUACGGCAAUAACAGGUCUGUGAUGCCCUCAGAUGUUCCGGGCUGCACACGUGCUACAAUGAUCAUUGCACUGUGCAUCUAACCCAAUGUGCGUGGACGCCACGGUGAUACGUUUCGGCGUGUCAUUAGUUGGUCGACCACGCCGAACCUACUUCGAAAGUAAAAUUUUUAAGUGGGUAAUCCAUUAGAAGUAAUGACUCGCAUAGACCAUGGUACACUCUUUAUGUACGCGCAGGUCCUACCCGGCCGUCCUUUGUGUCGGUGCAGUGCGUAGCUUGUUGUUUCGUACGUACCACUCCGUAUUAAUUCAUACGUGGGGAUAGAUCAUUGUUUAAUUGUUGGUCUCGGUCUUAACUAGGAAUGCCUUGUACGGGUCUCUGGUUCAACAUACCACCCGGAAUACGUCCCUGCCCUUUGUACACACCGCCCGUCGCUCUUACCGAUGGAUUAUACUAUGAAUCUAUAGGACUGCCAAAGUUGUGCACUCGUGCGCGCUUAGUGGAAAUAUAUAUGAAUA
rnacentral:rRNA from 1 species